rnacentral:lncRNA from 1 species
AUGAGGAGAGAGGAAGAGGAGCAAGGCGAUGUAAACAGCGAUGUCGUGAGGCGAUGUGAAACAGCGAUGUGGUGAGGGCAAUGAGAGCAAGUGGUAGAAGCUAAUGGGCUAUGAAAAAGUGAGAGGGCUGAUGGGUGAUGAAAUGGAGAGAGUGUGAGAAGAGGGAGUGAAAGAGGCUAAUGAGAAGAGGAGAGAGGAGAGAGGAGAGAGAAUUGUGAUGAUUGAUAUCUUGCAUAUUUACAUGUUUUUAGCCAUCAUAUCUUGUACAUUCUGAUCAUAAAGAUUAGGAAUUAGGCAUCUUUAGAAUCCAUAGUGCAUGCAUUGUCUUUAUUAGGUGUUGGAGAGUGC